UACACGCAGGUGGAUGCCUUCACCGGCGAGCCGUUCAAGGGCAACCCGGCGGCGGUGUGCCUCCUGGAGGAUGACGACGCCGUCGACGACCGGUGGCUGCAGUCCAUUGCCACGGAGUUCAACGUAUCCCAGACGGCCUUCCUCUCUCGCAGCAACGCCGGCUCCAACUCGUCCACCCCGCGGUUCCGCCUCCGCUGGUUCAGCCCCGCCGUCGAGGUCGCGCUGUGCGGCCAUGGGACACUUGCGUCCGCCCACUUCCUCUUCACCGCCGUCCUCGCCGAGCAGAACGACGUGGUCGAGUUCGUCACCCAGUCCGGGAUCCUGACCGCCCGGAAGGUUCCCGCUGCUAGCUCGCUGCCACGGGUGACGGAGGCGGAGGAGGGGAAGCCGUUCAUCGAGCUGGAUUUCCCCACGGGUGAUGUUUUCGUGGACUGCAGCUCCACCCAUGAACACGACCUGCCGUCUAUAUUCCAGAAGGCCGCGCCCGUCGUCAGCGUUCACCGACGACUUCAUUAUCGUGGCUUUUUUCAGGUGGAACUUUCAUCAGGAGAAGAGGUCGUUGAUGUUGUCCCUAACAUGGAACAACUUAAGAAGUGUGCUGGCAGAGGUGUUAUUGUCACAGGACAGGCGCCACCUAGAUCGGGUUAUGACUUCUUCUCACGUUUCUUCUCCCCAAAAUGGGGGAUAGAUGAGGACCCGGUUUGUGGCAGUGCACAUUGUGCUGUAGCACCAUAUUGGGCUCGAAAGCUGGGGAAACAGAAACUUACAGCUUUUCAAGUAUCUAAAAGGACUGGAACGCUAUAUCUAGAGUUUAACGCUGCAAAUCAGAGGAUGAAAAUUCAAGGCCAGGCUGUUACUGUGAUGGUUGGGACACUAUAG
rnacentral:rRNA from 1 species